AAGUCGUAACAAGGUAACCGUAGGUGAACCUGCGGUUGGAUCAUUAACAAUGAAGAGGAUACCGGUCAAGAGUUAUUAUCUCCCGGUACUCCGCUGCAUACACCCCAACUUUUGUGCACCGUUUCUGUCUCUGGUGGCCGUAAGAUGCGGCAUCUGAUGUCGCUCUUCUAGUUCACUUGUUCUUGAAGCAAGUGGAUGAAGCCACCAACCGUUUCUGCAACACAUUUCUAUUUAAUCAAUGGUCUGAUAUCACUUUGUAUGAAAUAUACAAAACAACUUUUGGCAACGGAUCUCUUGGCUCUC
rnacentral:misc_RNA from 1 species